rnacentral:rRNA from 1 species
GACGAACGCUGGCGGCGUGCUUAACACAUGCAAGUCGAACGAAGUGGCGAACGGGUGAGUAACGCGUAAUCAACCUGCCCUUCAGAGGGGGACAACAGUUGGAAACGACUGCUAAUACCGCAUACUUAAGGAGGGGAUUGCGUCUGAUUGGCUAGUUGGCGGGGUAACGGCCCACCAAGGCGAUGAUCAGUAGCGGGGCGGGUAGGAUGAACGGGAAAAAUGGGACUGAGACACGGCCCAGACUCCUACGGGAGGCAGCAGGGGGGAAUCUUCCGCAAUAGACGAAAGUCUGACGGAGCAACGCCGCGUGAGGGAUGACGGCCUUCGGGUUGUAAAGCUCUGUUAAUCGGGACGCGGUACCGGAAUAGAAAGCCACGGCUAACUACGUGCCAGCAGCCGCGGUAAUUC